rnacentral:rRNA from 1 species
GUGCAGCAGACGCGAAUUUUUCUCAAUGGGGGAAACCCUGAAGGAGCGACGCCGCGUGGAGGAUGAAGGUCUUCGGGUUGUAAACUCCUGUCAUUUGGGAACAAGUGCCAACAAGUAACUACUGUUGGCUUGAUAGUACCAGAAGAGGAAGAGACGGCUAACUCUGUGCCAGCAGCCGCGGUAAUACAGAGGUCUCAAGCGUUGUUCGGAUUCAUUGGGCGUAAAGGGUGCGUAGGUGGCGCCGUAAGUCAGGUGUGAAAUCUCGGAGCUUAACUCCGAAACUGCAUUUGAUACUGCGGUGCUUGAGGACUGGAGAGGAGACUGGAAUUUACGGUGUAGCAGUGAAAUGCGUAGAGAUCGUAAGGAAGACCAGUGGCGAAGGCGGGUCUCUGGACAGUUCCUGACACUGAGGCACGAAGGCCAGGGGAGCAAACGGGAUUAGAUACCCGGGUAGU